UACUUGAAUCUGACUUUAAACCGGUUUAACACAAACAUACAAUUACAAUAAUCAAUACCAGGGUACAUGUAUCAUGCUGGAAAAUUACGAAUGUGUCAGACGAAUUAUUUUGUUUUUCAUAGAAGAUAAACAAAAUCAUCGAGCUUUGUAGAACGAUGAAUCAGAAUGACUGAAUGACACUAAGUUUUGCAAAAUGGAUAUAUCCCUAACUUCCAUGGCCUUCGACAUAUUUGAGUGGGAUCCUGAAACAACCCCUGACACAACAACUUAAUUUACAAGAACAACCCUGCGUGUAAGAACUUCAAUACUUCUGACAAAAACAAACAAAAGCAACUCCAGAUUUAUGAACAACUCUGAUUACUAGAAUAUGAACACCAACCCCAUCUUCAAGAACAACAACUUCAACCCCAGAACAUCAACACUUCCUGCAGGGACAACUACAAAAACAUCGGCUUCAAGAACAAAUUCAUCCUAAACACAAACAUCAGCAACAACAGCUACCCGAAUAAAACUACUCGAACUACAAGAACACCAGCAACACACUCUUUAAGAACACCAGCAUCAUCAUCUUCUUCUAGACUUGCAAAUGCAACAAACACCAAAGACAAAGUUGAAUGGCUAACUUCAAUGGAGAGGACAGAGUAAUGGCAAAAAGAGGAUCAUUUGAAAGAGAGGAGGACGAGGGAUAUGUAAAGAGUGUUCUGAGGCCAGGAUAUCAGCAGUGCGUUCAGUCAGGCGAGCGUUUACAAAACGCUCACAAACGUUUUGUUUUGUAUCUCUGUUGCAACGCAGCGCAUAUACGUUAAGCGGGAAACCAAACAGCAAACGUUCGCCGCAAACAUCUUUACUGAACGCGUUGCAGAUUCAUGAUGGUUGGGGCGGUGGAACAAUUUUCGAGAAUUAUUGACAUACAUGUGUAUAAAUAUAUAUAUAUCAUGGUAGGAACUGUUUGCCUUGUCAACUGUGACUUAAAUAUUUAGUUCUUGUGUCAGCCUGUGCUUAUCUCAAAUAUUUAAUGACAUUUUUUUGGUUUGUUUGAUAGACAUGAUAAUUAUAUAACUAUUAAAUAUAAAUGGCAACAAUUAUAGAUAAAACAUUGUAACUCAGGUUAACUUUAUAAUAGAUAAUUAAUUGUUUAUAUGCAAUAUAUAUUUAAGGAUGCAUAUUUCUUUUAUUCUUGAAUCUAUUUUUUGUGUGUUUUUUUUCAUAUAUCGAAAAUAUUUUUCAUGAAUGUGGGUUUUUAAUUCUUUGUCAGUCUCAGAAGAAUUAAACAACUUGUGUUGAAUUUAUUUGCUAGACUGAAACUAGGCUGUUAAUAUUGGUCAGACUAAUUGAAUCAGAGAAUAAUAUGUACAGCUAUUCGGAUUACUGACCAAUAGAGUGAAUUUAGUCAAUGAUGUAUGACCCUAAGAUUAAGAUUGACUUAAAGCUGCACUCUCACAGAUUGAAGUGAACUUCUUUAUUUUUUGGCUUGGAAAGAGCCAAUUUAUGCGGAAAUGCAUGAAAAAUAGUGUCAUAAGACUGCAUACUUUCUUAUUUAAGUUCAAGAAGUGAUGUUGAAUGCCAUUACACAUUAAUUUUCGAACAGAAAUCUAUAAAUCUGCGAUCUGAUCUUUUGUCAGCAGUCUGAUUUGAAAAAAAGAAUGUAGAAAUUUGCUCAUUUAAGACAAAAAAAUAGAACAGCUGUCAAAACCGUAAAUCUGUGCGUGUGCAGCUUAUUUGCAUAUUUUGAACUUAUGUUUCUUCAUUCGUUUUUUUCAUUUUUAAAGUUAUUUUCAAUUUAGAUCUUAGAAUAUUGUUAUGCCCCCACAAAGUGGCAGCAUAUAGGGUUGCCCUUGUCCGUACGUACGUACGUACGUACGUACGUACGUACGUACGUCCCGAAGAUUGUUUCCGAUCUAAUUCUUGAAAACCGUUUGUCCAAUCCUCACCAAACUUUAAACACAUGUUUGUGACCAUAAUAUCUUGAUCAAGUUCGAUAGUCAUGGAAAUCGCUUUAGUCAUUUAGGAGUUACGGCCCUUUUUUGCCAAAAAUUCCCGAAGAUUGUUUCCGAUCUAAUUCUUGAAAACCGUUUGUCCAAUCCUCACCAAACUUUAAACACAUGUUUGUGACCAUAAUAUCUUGAUCAAGUUCGAUAGUCAUGGAAAUCGCUUUAGUCAUUUAGGAGUUACGGCCCUUUUUUGCCAAAAAUACUUCAAAAAUAUAUGUUUCCAAUCUAAUUCUUGAAAAGUAUGUGUCCAAUCCUCACCAAACUUUACAUACAUGAUUGUGACCAUAAUAUCUUGAUCAAGUUCGAUAGCCAUGGAAAUCGCUUUUGUCAUUUAGGAGUUACGGCCCUUUAUUUGCAAAAAAAGACUUGAAAAAUACGUCCCGAAGAUUGUUUCCGAUCUAAUUCUUGAAAACUGUUUGUCCAAUCCUCACCAAACUUUUAACACAUGUUUGUGACCAUAAUAUCUUGAUCAAGUUCGAUAGCCAUGGAAAUCGCUUUAAUCAUUUAGGAGUUAGGGCCCUCAGAUUAUCCUGAAUAAUCAUUAUGGCUUAUUUUCUGUGACAAAAAAUCGAAGUGGGGGCAUCCGUGUCCUAUGGACACAUUUCUAGUUUUUAUAUUGAUUUAUAAAUAUGUAAUAGUAUUAUACUAAUAUCAAAGUAAAUUUGUACUGUUCAAUUUUAAAUGGACAGUUAAAGCUGUACACUCACAGAUAUACAAUUUUUACAACUCUUAUAUUCUUUGUCUUGGAAAGAGCACAUUUUUGCGUAAAUAUCUGUAAACCAGUGAUAAAAGAUUGCUGCCAAAAUAUCAAAUUGCGGACUUUCAUAUUUAUGUUUGAAAAUUAAUGUUUUAUUGCAUAAGACAUCAAUUUUUGAACUGAAAUAUAAAGAUCUACAAUCUAAUUUUUCAGCAGUCUUAUUUAACUGUUUUCUAUGGAAUUUCGAAAACUAUAAUGGCUCCAAGACAAAAAAUAAAAAAAAAUGUCAAACGUUCAAUCUGUGAGAGUGCAGCUUUAAUAAAUGGUUAAAUGUUGUUGUUUUUUAAUUCUGAUUUUUAUAAUAAGUUGAUGAUCGCCAUGUAUCAUUGAUAAAACAUGUAAAAUAAAAUAAAAAUUGUUUAUUUUCCAACACUGUUUUGCAUUUAAAUUUGCUGACAUAAUGCUCUCCAAAAACUUCUGAUAUGUGGUUUUAAAAUGUGUGUUCAUCCUUUAUUCAGCUAGUGGAUGGAAUUCAUUAAACUACUGUAUUCAGUACACCAUGCAGCUCUUCCAAUUGUUUGAAAGCAAUUAUUUCACAGAAUCUGAUAAUAGAGGGACCGGACUCAAGAUUCUACAUUGCAAGAAAAAGUGAAAAUUGUCAAAAUUUAUCAUCAAACUGUUAUGUUUCAACAGUGUACAGUGCACUGAAUCUUACUUAUGUAAUCAUAUAAGUUGAAAUAAACUCACUUUGUCUACCAUGUAAAUCGAAGUAAAUUUAGAAAUAGCAAUCAUGUAUUUAUCUGUAUUUAUCUGUAUAUAUGUUUAUGUGACCUUUACAUGCUUAAUGUAGAUAUGAUAAUACUAAUAAACAGGAAAAUCAU